CCUACGGGAGGCAGCAGUGGGGAAUAUUGCACAAUGGGGGAAACCCUGAUGCAGCGACGCCGCGUGAGUGAAGAAGUAUUUCGGUACGUAAAGCUCUAUCAGCAGGGAAGAAAAUGACGGUACCUGACUAAGAAGCCCCGGCUAACUACGUGCCAGUAGCCGCGGUAAUACGUAGGGGGCAAGCGUUAUCCGGAUUUACUGGGUGUAAAGGGAGCGUAGAAGGCAGCGCAAGUGUGGAGUGAAAUCCCAUGGCUUAACCAUGGAACUGCUUUGGAAACUGUGCAGCUAGAGUGCAGGAGAGGUAAGCGGAAUGUCUAGUGUAGCGGUGAAAUGCGUAGAUAUUAGGAGGAACACCAGUGGCGAAGGCGGCUUACUGGACUGUAACUGACGUUGAGGCUCGAAAGCGUGGGGAGCAAACAGGAUUAGAUACCCCAGUAGUC
rnacentral:rRNA from 1 species